UCCUACGGGAGGCAGCAGUGGGGAAUAUUGGACAAUGGGCGCAAGCCUGAUCCAGCCAUGCCGCGUGAGUGAUGAAGGCCCUAGGGUUGUAAAGCUCUUUUGUGCGGGAAGAUAAUGACGGUACCGCAAGAAUAAGCCCCGGCUAACUUCGUGCCAGCAGCCGCGGUA
rnacentral:rRNA from 2 species